ensembl:lncRNA novel transcript, antisense to CD36
AUCAGACAAAGGAACUAAAAAACCUCAGUCUUAAUUAGAAGAUGGUCAAACAAAUCUCUUAACUGAUGUUCACAAUGAUGGUUUCAAGUCAUCUAAGGAAUGGCUGGCUCUUGGAUGGAUGUUUGGCUGAAACAUUUUACCAUCCUGGACACCAUGCUUACUUUAAAUGAUUCCAGGAAUUUGCAGAAUGUGGAGAUAACAUCUGUUACCAAGGAUAGCUCCUCUCCUCCAGAAUAACUGAGGAGCCUGAAUAAUUGACUCUAUCAUUUGAAACCUAUAUCCUGAACAUGUUUCAGUAAUAAUUCUGUGACCAUAAUUCUGUGUCUCGUUCUCCUUUCAAGACUGAAUGAUAGCAGGUGACGUACUGUUUCUUCAAUAGACCAUCGGGCUAUUUCAUUAAGACAGCAUCUUCAGACAAUGUGGUACAUGGUAGCACCAAUUUAAAUCAACAGACUGAAUAAACUACGAGAACCACUCCCACCUGCUUGAGGUCACAGUCACACCAGAAUCUCCGGUAAAGAUCUGGAAGCAAUGAGUGGUAGUAGGUAUUGAAUAAAAUUGUCAUUGCCUUACAAGAGGACACAUCAUUGAGGUCAUUUAGAAUCUUCAGGUGAAGGAAGACUGAUGUUCUCAAACAGAAAAGAUGGGCUGUUUCUGAUGGAAAUUAAGGAUCAAUGAGGAGACUGUUUUCCAUGGGUCUCUCACAUUUCUGGACAUCUUGCAAAUGAAGGCACUCACUGACUUUAUUUCAAAUUAUCUUUUGAAGGAUGUUUAUAUAGCAAAUGACAGAGAAAAUGUCUCUCUCUAGGGUGAAGACCAGAUAGAAUUACUGCUCAUUUUAAAAGAUUCAGGUACCCUAUGUUUAGAAUUCCUCUCUUGUACCCCACCCCAUUAUGUGUGCAGGUAUUACCCAGACUUCUUUGUAUUAUCCUGUAGAUUUGUGUCUUCCAGAACCAAUGCAAAUGCUGAUACUCUGGUUUUUGCUGUUCUGAAUAAUAAAGUCAUUAAUAUCUAGCCUAA